UACGUAGGGGGCAAGCGUUGUCCGGAAUCAUUGGGCGUAAAGAGCGUGUAGGCGGCUCGAUAAGUCUGCUGUGAAAGUCCAAGGCUCAACCCUGGAAGGCCGGUGGAAACUGUCGGGCUAGAGUCCGGAAGAGGCGAGUGGAAUUCCCGGUGUAGCGGUGAAAUGCGCAGAUAUCGGGAGGAACACCAAUGGCGAAGGCAGCUCGCUGGGACGGUACUGACGCUGAGACGCGAAAGCGUGGGGAGCAAACAGGA
rnacentral:rRNA from 1 species